AGACGAUACUGAAAACUAAAUGCACGGCCAACUGGGAGCUGUGAACUGGGAAGCAGAUGUUCUUCUAAGGGACACCCUAGAGGCAGCAAUUUGGUGCAAACGUCAAACAUUUAAAGGCACUGUUUCCCUCCCUAGUGUAAUUGGGAUGGACGGGGAAGACCGCAUUACAACCCUUAAAGAACUACAGUUGUAUAAUGGCCUGGGUGAAGAGGAACAUAUUAUCCUCAAGGAACCAUUCAUGUUACAGAGAGAUUAUGAGAUGUUCUAUGUGGAGGCAGUUGACAACAAGAAAAUUACUGUCUUUGCCUCUUUUGAGGAGCAGGAGUGAAGCCAUUUUUGAGGAGUGGUCAAACCUUGUUUUUUCUGCUGUGUUAAUUGUGUUAUGUUGUUUAGUAAAGUUGACGUUGAAUUCAA